GGGUCCGGACACACUGAGGAUUGACAGAUAUACGUCGUGUGUUGAGCCCUCUCGGGGGCCGAGCGCAUGACUGAAAGAUGCUAGUUCUUUCAUGAUUAUGUGAUAGGUGGUGCAUGGCCGUUCUUAGUUCGUGGAGUGGUCUGUCUGCUUAAUUGCGUAUCAUAAAAAGAGACCUAGUAUACGCGUAAGAUAUCGUUUACGGUUCGUGACCCCCUUCGGGCGUGUGUCGCACGUACGUAUCAUACGCACUGGUCUCCGAUAGCAACGAACGUGACCGUACUCUAUUGUUGCAGCGAAUGUAUGCAUCUUCGGGUGUAUCUACCGCUGCUUAGUGCGUAUGCGUACUUCGGUGCGUGUCGUACAUUAAACUAUAGAGACCGCUGUAUUUUUUUUAAACCAGAGGAAGGAUACGGCAAUAACAGGUCUGUGAUGCCCUCAGAUGUUCCGGGCUGCACACGUGCUACAAUGAUCAUUGCACUGUGCAUCUAACCCAAUGUGCGUGGACGCCACGGUAUGUAUUUAUGCUUCGGCGUAGUAUAUAUCAGUUGGUCGGUCGCGCCGAACCUACUUCGAAAGUAAAAUUUCUCAGUGGGU
rnacentral:rRNA from 1 species